rnacentral:rRNA from 1 species
UACGGAGGGGCUAGCGUUGUUCGGAAUUACUGGGCGUAAAGCGCACGUAGGCGGCUUUGCAAGUUAGAGGUGAAAGCCCGGGGCUCAACUCCGGAAUUGCCUUUAAAACUGCAUCGCUAGAAUUGUGGAGAGGUAAGUGGAAUUCCGAGUGUAGAGGUGAAAUUCGUAGAUAUUCGGAAGAACACCAGUGGCGAAGGCGACUUACUGGACACAUAUUGACGCUGAGGUGCGAAAGCGUGGGAGCGAACAGG